rnacentral:rRNA from 1 species
UACGUAGGGGGCAAGCGUUGUCCGGAUUUAUUGGGCGUAAAGAGCGUGUAGGCGGCCAAGCAGGUCCGCUGUGAAAACUCGAGGCUCAACCUCGAGACGUCGGUGGAAACCGUUUGGCUAGAGUCCGGAAGAGGAGAGUGGAAUUCCCGGUGUAGCGGUGAAAUGCGCAGAUAUCGGGAAGAACCCCCGUGGCGAAGGCGGCUCUCUGGGACGGUACUGACGCUGAGACGCGAAAGCGUGGGGAGCGAACAGG